rnacentral:misc_RNA from 1 species
UUCAUGGAAACCUAGAGCUUUUGUGUAUGAAGGUUUUCUUACGGACGAAGAAUGUAAUCAUUUGAUAUCUCUUGCGAAAAAAGAGUUGAAGAGAUCAGCUGUUGCAGAUAAUGAAUCUGGGGAAAGUAAGCUUAGUGAGGUCAGGACUAGCUCCGGAAUGUUCAUUAGCAAAGCAAAGGAUCCUAUUGUCACAGGGAUAGAGGAGAAGAUAGCGACUUGGACUUUUCUACCUAAAGAGAAUGGAGAAGACAUACAAGUUCUAAGAUAUGAGGAAGGACAGAGAUAUGAGCCACACUAUGAUUACUUCACCGACAAGGUUAAUAUUGUUCGUGGUGGACACCGUUUAGCCACUGUACUCAUGUAUCUCAGUGAUGUAGAGAAAGGUGGUGAAACUGUUUUCCCCGAAGCAGAGGUAUCAACUCGGCGUAGGUCAAUGGCAGCUGACGACAGUUUGUCCGAGUGUGCAAAGAGGGGUAUUGCUGUUAAACCACGAAAAGGAGAUGCACUUCUUUUUUUCAGUCUCCAUCCAAAUGCUGUACCUGAUCCUAUGAGCCUCCACGGUGGAUGCCCUGUUAUGGAGGGUGAGAAG